rnacentral:rRNA from 1 species
UACGAGUGCUUCGAGCGUUAUCCGGAAUCAUUGGGCGUAAAGGGUGUGUAGGCGGUUCUGUUAGUCCUGUGUUAAAUAUUCCGGCUCAACCGGUAUGCCGCAUGGGAUACGGCAGAACUUUGAGGAUGGUAGGGGUCUCUGGAACUCAUGGUGUAGCGGUGAAAUGCGUUGAUAUCAUGGGGAACACCGAAAGCGAAGGCAAGAGACUGGACCACUCCUGACGCUGAAACACGAAAGCGUGGGUCGCGAAUGGG